rnacentral:rRNA from 1 species
AGUAACACGUGGGUUACCUGCCCCGAUGAUUGGGACAACCCGAGGAAACUCGGGCUAAUACCAAAUGUGCUCCUGGCCGUAAUGGCCUUGAGGAAAGGAAGCUUCGGCCUCCGCAUCGGGAUGGGCCCGCGGCCCAUUAGCUAGUUGGUGGGGUAAUGGCCUACCAAGGCGACGAUGGGUAGCUGGUCUGAGAGGACGAUCAGCCACACUGGGACUGAGACACGGCCCAG